AGGAAGGUGGCUCAGUGGUAGAGUGUUUGCCUUGCAUGCAUGAAGCUCUGAGUUCGAAUCCUUACUA
rnacentral:tRNA from 1 species